AACGAACGCUGGCGGCAGGCUUAACACAUGCAAGUCGAACGCCCCGCAAGGGGAGUGGCGCACGGGUGAGUAACGCGUGGGAAUAUGCCCCUUCGGUUCGGAAUAACACAGGGGAAACUUGUGCUAAUACCGGAUACGAUCUACGGAUGAAAGAUUUAUCGCCGAGGGAGUAGCCCGCGUAGGAUUAGCUAGUUGGUGAGGUAAUGGCUCACCAAGGCGACGAUCCUUAGCUGGUCUGAGAGGAUGAUCAGCCACACUGGGACUGAGACACGGCCCAGACUCCUACGGGAGGCAGCAGUGGGGAAUAUUGGACAAUGGGCGAAAGCCUGAUCCAGCCAUGCCGCGUGAGUGAUGAAGGCCUUAGGUUGUAAAGCUCUUUCGCCAGGGAAGAUAAUGACGGUACCUGGAAAAUAA
rnacentral:rRNA from 1 species